rnacentral:rRNA from 1 species
GACGAACGCUGGCGGCGUGCCUAAUACAUGCAAGUCGAACGAUCUUUUCUAUGGAAGCUUGCUUCCACUGAGAAGAUAGUGGCGGACGGGUGAGUAACACGUGGGUAACCUGCCCAUAAGAGGGGGAUAACAUCCGGAAACGGGUGCUAAUACCGCAUAGUUUUCUUGAUCGCAUGAUCGGGAAAGGAAAGACGGCCUUUGUGCUGUCGCUUAUGGAUGGACCCGCGGCGUAUUAGUUAGUUGGUGAGGUAAUGGCUCACCAAGACGAUGAUACGUAGCCGACCUGAGAGGGUGAUCGGCCACAUUGGGACUGAGACACGGCCCGAACUCCUACGGGAGGCAGCAGUAGGGAAUCUUCCGCAAUGGACGAAAGUCUGACGGAGCAACGCCGCGUGAGUGAAGAAGGUUUUCGGAUCGUAAAACUCUGUUGUCAGAGAAGAACAAGUCGGAGAGUAACUGCUCCGGCCUUGGCGGUAUCUGACCAGAAAGCCAGGCUAACUACGUACG